UUUUAACGGCCGCGGUAUCCUAACCGUGCAAAGGUAGCAUAAUCACUUGUUCCUUAAUUAGGGACUUGUAUGAACGGUUAAAUGAGGGCAAAACUGUCUCCUACAGUUAAUCAAUGAACUUGAUCAUACAGUACAAACGCUGUAAUUUACUUAUAAGACGAGAAGACCCUGUGGAGCUUUAAACUUCUACAUUAAAUAAAAACUAUAAUAUAAUGUAAAAUUUUAAGUUGGGGCGACUGUGGAGUAAAAAAAAACCUCCAUGAAACUCGACUAACCCUCGUCAUAAAAGGCCAACAAGCCUAACAAAAACGUUUGACCCAAUCAUAUUGAAUACCGAACCAAGUUACCCCAGGGAUAACAGCGCCAUCCCCUUAAAGAGUUCACAUCGCCAAGGGGGUUUACGACCUCGAUGUUGGAUCAAGACUUCCCGGUGGUGUAGCCGCUACCAAAGGUUC
rnacentral:rRNA from 1 species